UACAGAGUGCGUCAAGCGUUGUUCGGAUUCAUUGGGCGUAAAGGGUGCGUAGGUGGCGGUCGUAAGUCGGGUGUGAAAAUUUCGGAGCUUACUCCGAAACUGCAUUCGAUACUGCGGUGCUUGAGGACUGGAGAGGAGGACUGGAAUUCAUGGUGUAGCAGUGAAAUGCGUAGAGAUCAUGAGGAAGACCAGUGGCGAAGGCGGGUCUCUGGACAGUUCCUGACACUGAGGCACGAAGGCCAGGGGAGCAAAACGGG
rnacentral:rRNA from 1 species